UAAACCUACGGGAGGCAGCAGUAGGGAAUCUUCCACAAUGGGCGAAAGCCUGAUGGAGCAACGCCGCGUGGGUGAAGAAGGUCUUCGGAUCGUAAAACCCUGUUGUUAGAGAAGAAAGUGCGUGAGAGUAACUGUUCACGUUUCGACGGUAUCUAACCAGAAAGCCACGGCUAACUACGUGCCAGCAGCCGCGGAAAUACGUAAGUGGCAAGCGUUAUCCGGAUUUAUUGGGCGUACAGGGAACGCAGGCGGUCUUUUAAGU
rnacentral:rRNA from 1 species